ensembl:snRNA U6 U6 spliceosomal RNA
GUGCUUGCUUCGGCAGCACAUACACUAAAACUGGAACGACAGAGAUUAGCAUGACCCCUGCGCAAGGAUGAUACACAAAUUCGUGAAGCGUUCUGUAUUUUU